rnacentral:rRNA from 1 species
UACGGGGGGGGGCAAGCGUUGUUCGGAAUUACUGGGCGUAAAGGGCUCGUAGGCGGCCAACUAAGUCGGACGUGAAAUCCCUCGGCUUAACCGGGGAACUGCGUCUGAUACUGGAUGGCUCGAGUUUGGGAGAGGGAUGCGGAAUUCCAGGUGUAGCGGUGAAAUGCGUAGAUAUCUGGAGGAACACCGGUGGCGAAGGCGGCAUCCUGGACCAACACUGACGCUGAGGAGCGAAAGCCAGGGGAGCAAACGGG